rnacentral:rRNA from 1 species
AUACGUAGGUCCCGAACGUUGCGCGAAAUUACUGGGCGUAAAGGGUCCGUAGGCGGUCUGGUAAGUGGAAGGUGAAAGCCUGGGGCUCAACUCCAGAAUUGCCUUCCAAACUGCCGGACUUGAGGCAGGGAGAGGUCGGCGGAAUUCCCGGUGUAGCGGUGAAAUGCAUAGAUAUCGGGAGGAACACCAGUGGCGAAGGCGGCCGACUGGAACUGUCCUGACGCUGAGGGACGAAAGCCAGGGGAGCGAACCGGAUUAGAAACCCUGUAGUCC